CAGCCUCGGUUGGACGCCGAGGCGAUGACUCCCUCCUCCAGCACGUCCUUCUGGGUCCUGGUGCCACUCUAGUCCACACUCGGAGCCGGCAUACCCCGCAGGAGCUGCAUGGGCUGCCCUGGGGCGCGCAGGAAACGCCCAGGCUGCUUGGCUCUGGCUGGCCCUGGGGGUACUGGUGGGGCUUCGCGGAGAUGUUCGCAUCCCUUCACAUCGCACGCACCGACAAACACGUCGACAAUAAAAACCGGGGCAUUAAAAGCAUUCUAUUGAUUUUCUAAUCUUGGCUGUAGCUGCUAUGUUCCUCGAGAGUAACUGAGUCCCGGACGAGAAAUCCCGAACUAACACAUCCUGUGGUGAAUGACUACGUUUUCCACAAAUGAUCUCCUAACCAACAGGCCUCGGGCCAACUUCAUCCCGGAGACCCUGUCCCCCGCUGCAAGGGCAAAUUCGUGUCUUGUAAGAUCCACGCUGGCCUCCCCCAACUUGAGCGAAUCCUUCUUCCCUGAUCUGGAAGCAAAGCGUCCCCGCUGCGGCGAGCUCCGGGCAGCCCCGCGGGUGUAGACGCCGCCUGGGGACCGGUUGAGUGGGCCCGCUGUGACUUUCCAUUGUUCGUGAGGCCCGCGCCCGCCGCGCGGCGGGGGCUGAGUCAUUGUAAAUUCUUCUCUUUGUGUUUUCUCUCGUGAGCGCGCAGAGAUGGUUGCUCCAAUUGUCAUCUUCUUUCCUCGGACAAAAGAAAUCUAGUCUUCGAUAAUUCUGAUUCACCAGUCGGCUAAAAUAUGAGUCAAACCCAAGUUUCCGGAGCGCUAUAAAUAUCUGCUCCACCCUGAUGGGAAGUGCCCACGGCUCUUGUUCCGCCGCCAAGCGGCUCCAAUCUGGAGGAUUCCUCUGGUGUCCGCGGGAAAGCCAGCCGCGCGGUGCGUGGGCAGUGAAGCCGCGGCGGAUUCCGCGCUUUCGAAGGAGCAUGAGUGUGUGUGUGUGUGUGUGUGUGUGUGUGUGUGUGUGUGUGCUUGAAGCAUCAGUUCUUUGAAAAAGUAUUUCUUAAAAAUAUAGAAUCCUUAUGAUGAAAACGGUAGACAUUAUCUUGGAGUGAGGGAGUGGAGAACACAGCAGAACUAAGUGGCAUCGUCCACAGCGUCUGGUUUUUUGGCAAGUAAAUAUGGGUCAUUUGGCAUGGCCUGUGGCCUGACGUGAAUAUCAACAAGGGCCACUUUGUAGGCCACAGAAAUCACUUUAUGCCCAGGCUGAGGUGUGAAGUUUGAAGGGUGAUGAAGCCGGGGGCAGGGCACUCCAGCUGGUGCCCGAGACCCUGGGUUUGGUGUUGAAAAGCCAGGGGAACAGUCAAUUCCUGGCUGAUUCCUGAGUGGUUUUUUGUUUGGUUCUUUUUGUUUGUUUGUUUUUUUAACAAUGUGUUUGGGGUUUUUUUUCCUGAUUGGAAAAAAAUCGACUUUUAUUUUCAAAAACUUAAAUAAAAAAGCUCAAAAGAGAAAAGAAAUGUAAGUU
rnacentral:lncRNA from 1 species